CAGUGAUACAAGCAAGCCAUGAUCUAAGCUUUCAAGAAGAAGAUGGCUAACUUUGAAAAUGGUUAAUCCUGAUUAUGUCAAAGAGAAGAAUUGUUAUCAAGGAUGUUGAAGCAUCAGUCUCAAAGGCAAAGAAGAUUCACAAGGAUGUAAAUUCAACCAAAUCUUUGUCGACCAACACUAAUAUACCAGCUGCCAUGUCAUCGGUAGACCCUUCAUCAAACGAAAUGUCUACAAGUAUGAAAGUUUGUAUAUCUUGUCAGACUAAGAUGUUAGCCAAGGCUAAAUUCUGCCGAGGCUGCCGUGGUACACAUUUU